UUCCCACAUAUUUCCAGUCUUUGCUAAACUAGGCUAACAGUUCUAACCUGUUUCCAGCCUUUGUGCAAAGCUAAGCUAACAGUUCCCACCUGUUUCCAGUCUUUGCUAAACUAGGCUAACAGUUCUAACCUGUUUCCAGUCUUUGUGCUAAGCUAAGCUACCUUGGAGACUAUUUGUCUGUGAGUAAAACGUGUACAUAAGCACAAAUAGAAAUGUCAUGUUAGAAGUUUGUUAUAAUUUGUCAAGUAGUUGAAAUAUGUCAUACAGUGUUGUUAGAAAGCCCUCAUAUUUUGAUCAUGAUGUUGUAUGGGUUGCGUUAUAGUUGUAUUUCCUCCCUUGUUGAGCUAAUCGGAUGUUUGUGUUUUUUUACGUAAUGUCCUUGAACGCACCUCGUGUGUGACGUAGCUUUUCUCCAUGUUACAGCACAGUUGUUAGCUAGUUCUCUCCUGUGCACAUGUCUGAACUGGAUGCAUGUUGCAUUUUUUUCUUCCUUAACCUGCUGUGUGUAAAUGAUGAAGGUGAGUGGUCAUGUGUUCCACCAGUAGAGCAUGAUUAUGCACUGUUUAGUGUUACUUGUUGAUCGUUUAGCGACACUUUACAGGACGGACGUUAGCUUAGCAAUUAGCCCACCAUGUUGUCUGUCCGAGCGGGUUUGGCUACGUUGCUACCGUCAUGUGAUUGAAAUGCUGAGCCAUGCAUAAUAUUUUGCCCUUCGUUAUUGUGUUUAUGUGCAUUUGUGUUACUGUUUCAUAGUAUAAUUAUUAUUGUGGUUACAUUUAUGCUGAAUGUCUGACUGAUUCAGUAUUCCUGUUUGUGAUGUUUCAGAACCACAGCUAGCCACAGUUGUCUACCAGUGCAGCACAGAGUUAUCUGCAACAACAAUAAACAUCAUUAACCUGGAAAGUCUGGCUGCCGUGUUCUUUAACGGGCACACCUUCAUACCUUGUGCCACUCUGAAAAUACCUACCUGGAGAACCCUCACUCGCGGUUAGAGGGUUAGAGCUGGAGUUAUAUGUCGGUGAACGGUUUCUGUCGGGUUCGGUACAUGUUUAAUACGUGCUUUGUUCAUGAAUGUAUCAGUGCUUGUAUAGUGAUUUAUUUUCUUUUCUCUGUUGUUGUUGUUGUCUUUUGUCUAUUUCAGUUUUACAAUAUUGACCUGAGUCAAGCUCAAGUAAACCACGCAAACCAAGCAAGAAAAGUUGUACAAACCAACAGGAUAAUUAAAAGUUUGGUUUAUUGCGGUGUUCAUUUUCUCUUACAGCUCAAAGUCGGGCCAGUGGACGGCAUUUGCAGAGACUAUGCGCCUGGGAAGAGCUUCAGCUUUCAGAUCAGAGGUGACCCGGGUGCAAAAGGCAGCCUGGUGGCUGUGGACAACGCUGUGUAUCUUCUCAACAAGGCCAGACUCACACAGAGGAAGAUUUGGGAAGUGGUGGAGCAUGGAGACAUUGGCUGCACCCGUGGGGGAGGCUGAGAUGCUAAGGGGGUGUUUUCAGAUGCAGGACUGAUGCAGGACUGAUGCAGGACUGAUGCAGGACUGCUUUAGGACUGCUUUACUCCUCCAGUACUGGGUUCAAAACUACAACCAGACAAACCGUGCAGUGUCCAGGCAGUACCAGAAGGCGACGCUCUGCUGAACUGUUGAAGCGUAAAGCUCAGCUGGGUGAGUGUCCCCUCAUCAUGAUUUGUUUAGCCAAGAACAAGCGGGAUGAGCACUUCUCCCACCUGACGGGUGAUUUGCACUAACUGAGAUUAGUCGGUAUAUAAUUUCUGCACAUCUUUCAGUGCUUUCUACCUUUAGGCUGACUUGUUGUGUAUAGUGAUCUCAUAAUAAUAAUAAUUAAAGCUGCAAGCAGCGUUGGACGGGUCCUCGCAUCCUUGCCGGUCGGCGAAUCCGCGCAUGUCCACCAGGCGGCGCUGCGACCGAGAGUGCAUGUCGGCCUACGGAUGCGAUGAGGGCCGGACUCUGAUCACACGUGUAAAAUUUCAGGCAGACUGGAGCAUGUUCAGGCUACUUAUAGAGCUUUUCCCUUUCCAUCCACCAGGUGGAGCUGCAACCGAGAGUGUAUAUUGGCCUAUGGAUGUGAUCAG